GACGAACGCUGGCGGCGUGCUUAACACAUGCAAGUCGAGCAGUAAGGCCCUUUCGGGGGUACACGAGCGGCGAACGGGUGAGUAACACGUGGGUGACCUGCCCUCAGCUCUGGGAUAAGCCUGGGAAACCGGGUCUAAUACCGGAUAUGACUCCAUGACGCAUGUUGUGGGGUGGAAAGCCUUGUGCGGCUGAGGAUGGGCCCGCGGCCUAUCAGCUUGUUGGUGGGGUGANGGCCUACCAAGGCGACGACGGGUAGCCGGCCUGAGAGGGCGACCGGCCACACUGGGACUGAGACACGGCCCAGACUCCUACGGGAGGCAGCAGUGGGGAAUCUUGCGCAAUGGGCGAAAGCCUGACGCAGCGACGCCGCGUGAGGGAUGACGGCCUCGGUUGUAAC
rnacentral:rRNA from 1 species